rnacentral:lncRNA from 1 species
GUCAAAUGUUUAUAUAAAAAAUUAAAGAUUUAGUAGAACAGAUAAAUUGGCAAGCUGAUCAGUUCUCUAAAAGUCUGAUUCACGUGAUGCGAUCGCAGCAGUAACGAAUAUCUAAUCAACCAAUUAAAUGAACAAAAAUAGAGGCUUUGUGGUAAAUUGUAAUGGAACCAUUAUUACGACGGUAAUUUCCAAUAUUUUUAAAGUUUAGGUAAUAAAUUUUGAAUUAGAUAGAGUUCAGGUGAUUCCCCUCCCCCCUUUUCGUUAUCAUAUCUAACUAUACGUAACAUGUUCAAAUCAUUAACUUUAAAGUUCGAUGCAGUACCCAAGAGUUGAUACUUAGAUAGCACCUAAGUGCUCUUAGCUCAUACAUAAAGAGCAUGUCAAAUAAUUCAUUCAUUACUUCUGAUCAAGUUCAUAAUAAUUUUAUAUAUAUGAGAUCUUAUAUAUAGAGUCCACACAUAGAGUAUAUAUACACAAGAAGUACGUAGCCACCACAUAAGCCACAUUAUUUAUUGUUAUCUAUCACUUGUGUUUUCUUACAUCGAUCAAGUGGCUUGAAUCUUAAAGCAACAUGGAGGGUGGUGAUCUCUAUCUCUUCUUAUAAGUUAUACACCAAAUUAUUAUUAUUAUUAUUAUUUCCCUAUACGUACUACAUGCAAGUGAUCCCUCUAAAACUUACGGAGGAGAUGGGCACCAAUCAUACUUUUUCUCCUCGCAAAACUGUCCAAUUGGUACAUAGCUCGUGCGCGUUGCUGGUUUUCCUUCAAUGUUCAUGUCCUUUCUCGUAAAUUUAAUUCCUUCGUCUUGCACAAUCGUAGGAUUUCGCAGUUUCUCGACGGUAUCGGUGGUUGCUUCAUGAACAACUUGAGUGCCCUCUCUUAUUGCCAUCACUGAGGUGGUCAUGAAAACAACUAACAGAAGAAGUGCGAAUACCUUCAUAAUUGCUUAACCUAGUCAUCAAACAUAUUUAACACUAUCAUAAUAGUAAAAAUCACAUAUAAAUAGAAAUAGAGAAGCUUAUGUUUGCAAACCUUUAAAGCCUAAACGAGCUGGUAAUUUGAGUU